GUGAAGAGGAAGUUGUGUGAGCUGAGAACACAUUCCCCGUCUGAUAUUCUGGGAGAGUUGUCACCAAGUCCCAUCACCAGGCCACCUCUGGCCCUUGCUGUGGAUCCCCUCCUGUAACUGCUAAUCAAAUCAGUGAAGUUCCUUGUGUCUCUCUUCAUGGAUUGCCAGAAAAUAGAGGUGGAAUUGACAGCAGAAAGGAUGGCGCUGAGGCAUAAGAACUCCCUGGGGUUCCGCGAUUAGGACCGGAAAGAAGUGCCCACUGGAAUGUGUACACACGCCUCCCAGCAUACCACAGAGGAGAGCUGCCCACC
rnacentral:lncRNA from 1 species